GUGCCAGCCGCCGCGGUAAUACGGAGGUGGCAAGCGUUGUUCGGAAUUACUGGGCGUAAAGGGCGCGUAGGCGGCUUGGCAAGUCAGAUGUGAAAGCCCCGAGCUUAACUUGGGAACUGCAUCUGAAACUGCUUAGCUUGAGUCCUGGAGGGGAUAGUGGAAUUCCCAGUGUAGCGGUGAAAUGCGUAGAUAUUGGGAGGAACACCUGCGGCGAAGGCGGCUAUCUGGACAGUGACUGACGCUGAGGCGCGAAAGCUAGGGGAGCGAACGGGAUUAGAAACCCGGGUAGUCC
rnacentral:rRNA from 1 species